UCCCUGGUGGUCCAGUGGCUAAGACUUCAACACUCCCAAGGCAAGGGCCCAGGUUCAAUCCCUGGUCAGGGAA
rnacentral:tRNA from 1 species